UCCUACGGGAGGCAGCAGUCGGGAAUUUUGGGCAAUGGGCGAAAGCCUGACCCAGCAACGCCGCGUGAAGGAUGAAAUCCCUCGGGAUGUAAACUUCGCAAGAACGGGAGAAUAAGCCGGUGUUAAUAUCGCCGGUGAUGACGGUACUGUUUGUAAGCUCCGGCUAACUCCGUGCCAGCAGCCGCGGUAAUAA
rnacentral:rRNA from 1 species